GACGAACGCUGGCGGCGUGCUUAACACAUGCAAGUCGAGCGGAAAGGCCCUUCGGGGUACUCGAGCGGCGAACGGGUGAGUAACACGUGAGUAAUCUGCCCUUGGCUUUGGGAUAACUACCGGAAACGGUGGCUAAUACCGGAUACGACAACCGUCUGCAUGGGCUGGUUGUGGAAAGUUUUUUCGGCCAGGGAUGUGCUCGCGGCCUAUCAGCUUGUUGGUGGGGUAGUGGCCUACCAAGGCUUCGACGGGUAGCCGGCCUGAGAGGGUGACCGGCCACACUGGGACUGAGACACGGCCCAGACUCCUACGGGAGGCAGCAGUGGGGAAUAUUGGACAAUGGGCGGAAGCCUGAUCCAGCAACGCCGCGUGAGGGAUGACGGCCUUCGGGUUGUAAACCUCUUUCAGUACCGACGAAGCGCCGAUGAUGGUGGUGACGGUAGGUACAGAAGAAGCACCGGCCAACUACGUG
rnacentral:rRNA from 1 species